rnacentral:lncRNA from 1 species
GGCUCAUUUCGGCCGCUUGAAGUUUUCUUUCAAACUGGGAUUUGUGACGAGGCCGGGGCGAAGGGAGCGGGACGACGAUCUAGGCGCCCGACGCGGAGCUCAAGCAUCGGCGUCCUGGCCAGAGCCGGGGUGUGCGCGUGGACCCACCCACUCAGGCUUCGCAAUAAACUAUGCGGUACAAUUUCAGAAAACGGCACCGGGGAGAACAGGACACGAAUCAGGAUGAAUUGAGGGAAUGAAUUGAGAAGGAAAUUCAGGGUUGGUGCUGCAUUCACCAAAGUCAAAGGAACGGGUGGAGGGUUCAAAAAGUUGGUACGAGGGAAGUGUUGCCGUCAAUAUCAUCAGAUCGUGGUGUGUCCAGCUCACCCCAAAGAAGUCAAGAUUAUGUUUACACACUAAAACCAGGGGUUCUAGUUCGUCCUCUGCAGUUGAAUAAUCCUGGCUCUGAGACUCACAAUUGUGUUGUUCUCUUUGAAGUGGUGUUCUCUUUUAAGCGGGAUAUGGAACAAUGGUCUCAUAGUCUCCUGUCGACCUACAUUGGCACUAUGAAGAAGCAAACCUGUGAAAAGCUCAUGGGAUUACAUGUCCAGUUUUUGUGAGAAGCCUCAACUCUUUGUAAACCAAAAUUCUUUCACAGUGCAGCCGAGUCUAAUCACAUGUUUAAACAAUCCUAUAUAGACCGAAAAAAAUAGAAGAACACACUACCAACAGAAAGUGAAGGAAAGAAUCCUGGGAUUCAACCUUCCCCCUUUUUAUGGCCAGAUGGUGACAACUUUAGGAAUUAAAAGCCACACAGGGAUAGAAAUGGGAAGCCGUUUCCUGCCUGAUAAGUCUGAAAGACGGCUGUGGUUUGGAAGAGGGAAAUUAAUCAAAGAAAGGUCAUUUACAGGUAGUAAAGUCAAAUGUCACCUCCCCCAAUUCUCAUGACUUGUGGUUUAGAGAAAGGUUAGCUUAAUAUAGAGGUUAGUGUGGCAUUCUGAACUGUCUCAAGACAUGAUAGAUGAAGAUGAGAAUAACACUAUCAGUAUCCCUCCCCCUAACAGCUAUGUUCAGGCUUCAAAAAGGUAUUUAAAACUUGACGUCAUGGUGAGGUACUAGACACCUGGGAAAGUCCCACUUAAUAGAAUAAGGAUAUCAUCAAAAGUCCUAUAAACUGUAUUCCAUAAACUGCCUCAUUGAAAGACUAUGUUUUUGAAAUAAUAUCGUUUUUGAGAAAUCCUCAUGCAGAAUCUACAGCACUUUAGAUUGAUGAUAAAACUGAUUUCCGUGGGACUAGCUAUAUAC